ensembl:snRNA U6 U6 spliceosomal RNA
UUGCUUCAGCAGCAUAUAUACUAAAACUGGCAUAAUAAAGAGAAAUCAACAUGGCCCCAGCAAAAGGAUGACAUGCAAAUCUGUGGGAUGUUCCAUAUUAAA